AGUGCAUGUGGUGGAUGCCUUGGCAGUCAGAGGCGACGAAAGACGUGAUAGCCUGCGAAAAGCUCCGGGGAGGCGGCAAAUAUCCUUUGAUCCGGAGAUGUCUGAAUGGGGAAACCCACUUAUCAUAAGAUAGGUAUUGCAUGAUGAAUACAUAGUCAUGCAAGGCGAACGAGGGGAAGUGAAACAUCUCAGUACCCUUAGGAAAAGAAAUCAAUUGAGAUUCCCUUAGUAGCGGCGAGCGAAAGGGGAACAGCCCAUUAAGUUGUGUGUGUUCUAGUGGAACGCUCUGGGAAGUGCGAACGUAGAGGGUGAUAUUCCCGUACACGAAAGGGCACACACAAUGAUGACGAGUAGGGCGAGGCACGUGAAACCUUGUCUGAAUAUGGGGGGACCAUCCUCCAAGGCUAAAUACUCCUGACUGACCGAUAGUGAACCAGUACCGUGAGGGAAAGGCGAAAAGAACCCCGGCGAGGGGAGUGAAAAAGAACCUGAAACCGUGUACGUACAAGCAGUGGGAGCACCUUCGUGGUGUGACUGCGUACCUUUUGUAUAAUGGGUCAGCGACUUAUAUUCUGUAGCAAGGUUAACCGUAUAGGGGAGCCGAAGGGAAACCGAGUCUUAACUGGGCGUUAAGUUGCAGGGUAUAGACCCGAAACCCGGUGAUCUAGCCAUGGGCAGGUUGAAGGUUGGGUAACACUAACUGGAGGACCGAACCGACUAAUGUUGAAAAAUUAGCGGAUGACUUGUGGCUGGGGGUGAAAGGCCAAUCAAACCGGGAGAUAGCUGGUUCUCCCCGAAAGCUAUUUAGGUAGCGCCUCGUGAAUUCAUCUCCGGGGGUAGAGCACUGUUUCGGCUAGGGGGCCAUCCCGGCUUACCAACCCGAUGCAAACUGCGAAUACCGGAGAAUGUUAUCACGGGAGACACACGGCGGGUGCUAACGUCCGUCGUGAAGAGGGAAACAACCCAGACCGCCAGCUAAGGUCCCAAAGUCAUGGUUAAGUGGGAAACGAUGUGGGAAGGCACAGACAGCCAGGAUGUUGGCUUAGAAGCAGCCAUCAUUUAAAGAAAGCGUAAUAGCUCACUGGUCGAGUCGGCCUGCGCGGAAGAUGUAACGGGGCUAAACCAUGCACCGAAGCUGCGGCAGCGACACUAUGUGUUGUUGGGUAGGGGAGCGUUCUGUAAGCCUGCGAAGGUGUGCUGUGAGGCAUGCUGGAGGUAUCAGAAGUGCGAAUGCUGACAUAAGUAACGAUAAAGCGGGUGAAAAGCCCGCUCGCCGGAAGACCAAGGGUUCCUGUCCAACGUUAAUCGGGGCAGGGUGAGUCGACCCCUAAGGCGAGGCCGAAAGGCGUAGUCGAUGGGAAACAGGUUAAUAUUCCUGUACUUGGUGUUACUGCGAAGGGGGGACGGAGAAGGCUAUGUUAGCCGGGCGACGGUUGUCCCGGUUUAAGCAUGUAGGCGGAGCGAUUAGGUAAAUCCGGUCGUUUUUUAACGCUGAGGUGUGAUGACGAGGCACUACGGUGCUGAAGUAACAAAUGCCCUGCUUCCAGGAAAAGCCUCUAAGCAUCAGGUAACAUCAAAUCGUACCCCAAACCGACACAGGUGGUCAGGUAGAGAAUACCAAGGCGCUUGAGAGAACUCGGGUGAAGGAACUAGGCAAAAUGGUGCCGUAACUUCGGGAGAAGGCACGCUGAUAUGUAGGUGAAGCCCCUGCGGGUGGAGCUGAAAUCAGUCGAAGAUACCAGCUGGCUGCAACUGUUUAUUAAAAACACAGCACUGUGCAAACACGAAAGUGGACGUAUACGGUGUGACGCCUGCCCGGUGCCGGAAGGUUAAUUGAUGGGGUUAGCGGCAACGCGAAGCUCUUGAUCGAAGCCCCGGUAAACGGCGGCCGUAACUAUAACGGUCCUAAGGUAGCGAAAUUCCUUGUCGGGUAAGUUCCGACCUGCACGAAUGGCGUAAUGAUGGCCAGGCUGUCUCCACCCGAGACUCAGUGAAAUUGAAAUCGCUGUGAAGAUGCAGUGUACCCGCGGCAAGACGGAAAGACCCCGUGAACCUUUACUAUAGCUUGACACUGAACACUGGUCCUUGAUGUGUAGGAUAGGUGGGAGGCUUUGAAGCGUGGACGCCAGUCUGCGUGGAGCCGUCCUUGAAAUACCACCCUUUAAUGGCUGGUGUUCUAACGUAGACCCGUAAUCCGGGUUGCGGACAGUGUCUGGUGGGUAGUUUGACUGGGGCGGUCUCCUCCCAAAGAGUAACGGAGGAGCACGAAGGUUAGCUAAUCCUGGUCGGACAUCAGGAGGUUAGUGCAAUGGCAUAAGCUAGCUUGACUGCGAGAGUGACGGCUCGAGCAGGUGCGAAAGCAGGUCAUAGUGAUCCGGUGGUUCUGAAUGGAAGGGCCAUCGCUCAACGGAUAAAAGGUACUCCGGGGAUAACAGGCUGAUACCGCCCAAGAGUUCAUAUCGACGGCGGUGUUUGGCACCUCGAUGUCGGCUCAUCACAUCCUGGGGCUGAAGUAGGUCCCAAGGGUAUGGCUGUUCGCCAUUUAAAGUGGUACGCGAGCUGGGUUUAGAACGUCGUGAGACAGUUCGGUCCCUAUCUGCCGUGGGCGCUGGAGAAUUGAGGGGGGCUGCUCCUAGUACGAGAGGACCGGAGUGGACGCAUCACUGGUGUUCGGGUUGUCAUGCCAAUGGCAUUGCCCGGUAGCUACAUGCGGAAGAGAUAAGUGCUGAAAGCAUCUAAGCACGAAACUUGCCCCGAGAUGAGUUCUCCCUGAGCCUUUAAGGCUCCUGAAGGAACGUUGAAGACGACGACGUUGAUAGGUCGGGUGUGUAAGCGCAGCGAUGCGUUGAGCUAACCGAUACUAAUGAACCGUGAGGCUUAACC
rnacentral:rRNA from 1 species